GACGAACGCUGGCGGCGUGCUUAACACAUGCAAGUCGAACGGAAAGGCCCUUCGGGGUACUCGAGUGGCGAACGGGUGAGUAACACGUGGGUGAUCUGCCCUGCACUUUGGGAUAAGCCUGGGAAACUGGGUCUAAUACCGAAUAGGACCACGCGCUUCAUGGUGUGUGGUGGAAAGCUUUUGCGGUGUGGGAUGGGCCCGCGGCCUAUCAGCUUGUUGGUGGGGUAAUGGCCUACCAAGGCGACGACGGGUAGCCGGCCUGAGAGGGUGACCGGCCACACUGGGACUGAGAUACGGCCCAGACUCCUACGGGAGGCAGCAGUGGGGAAUAUUGCACAAUGGGCGCAAGCCUGAUGCAGCGACGCCGCGUGAGGGAUGACGGCCUUCGGGUUGUAAACCUCUUUCGCCAGGGACGAAGCGUAAGUGACGGUAACUGGAGAAGAAGCACCGGCCAACUACGUG
rnacentral:rRNA from 1 species